UCCUUUUCCAAAAGUACAUGAAAAUUUCCAGUGGACGCCGUCAGGUUGGUGGUCGAAAAGGUUUCUCAAAAUUCCAAAAUGGUUGUGGAUGGAUACCACGAUUCGUCGUGUCGAAAAUUUCGAUAUAAAUCGACAAUAUAUAACGGCUCAAAUUAUUUUCGACCGUACACGUGUCGCCUAAAAUUUUUUCAUAAAUGUAUUAAUUUUUUUUAAUUGUAAAGUAGAAUAAUUUUUAAUUUGUGAAAGAAUAAAAUACUACAUAACUGAAGUAUU